UACGUAGGGUGCGAGCGUUAAUCGGAAUUACUGGGCGUAAAGCGUGCGCAGGCGGUUUUGUAAGCCAGAUGUGAAAUCCCCGGGCUUAACCUGGGAAUGGCAUUUGGGACUGCAAGGCUGGAGUUUGGCAGAGGAGACUGGAAUUCCUGGUGUAGCAGUGAAACGCGUAGAUAUCAGGAGGAAUACCGAUGGCGAAGGCAGGUCUCUGGGCUAUAACUGACGCUCAUGCACGAAAGCGUGGGGAGCAAACAGG
rnacentral:rRNA from 1 species